GCAGUCGUGGCCGAGUGGUUAAGGCGAUGGACUGGAAAUCCAUUGGGGUCUCCCCGCACAGGUUCGAAUCCUGUCGACUGAGCA
rnacentral:tRNA from 1 species